rnacentral:lncRNA from 1 species
CUGGCACCGUGGCCGCAGCGGCCGGCCUGGGAGCCAGGAGGGCGAGGCGGCUGCACCUUCGGGGCCAGAUUGGAGUUCGAAGAGUGGCGGGUACCCCAGAAGCUCGGGGCCGGGGCGAUGGCUGCAGCCUCGGGAGGGUAUCGCCGGAUCGAACUCCGGGAAAGGGAAGCAAAGGCAUGGAACCUCCGCACACUGGAUGAGAAUCCAUCUUCCAUUCGAGCUGGGAAUAGACUUUGUGAAAGAUAUUAUGUAAUGGAGUCUCGGGAACCCUGAGACCUCUCCAGCGAAGCUGAAGUGAAUUAAUUAAGUGCUUUAAACGGUCUUGGUGCUGUGUUACGGGAGAGAGUGACUGGAAAGUAACAAAGCUGAAUCUUUCUCCCUGGAGUAAGGCCGAAGACUGGAUUACUACACGCCUAGACGUGACACUACACCCAUAGAUCUCAUGCAUCAUUAAUGCCAUAUGACAUUGCCAUUUUCUUUCUCAGUUCACGGACAAAAGUGGUGGGUUUUCAUUGUCUUCACUGAUUGUCAAUGCAUUAAUAAAGAAGAUGUGUGGUACAUAGUCUUUGUGAUAAAUCAGGUAAAGAAGCAACGGAAGUGAUGCAAAAUGCACGGUGUGGAGAUGGUUUCUCUUCAGUGGUUGUCAGAAAAG